CGAAUCUGCCUGGUAGUGGGGGACGACGUUUCUAAAGGAACGCUAAUACCGCAUACGUCCUACUGGAGAAAGCAGGGGACCUUCGGGCCUUGCGCUAUCAGAUGACCCUAAGUCAGAUUACCUAGUUGGUGAGGUAAUGGCUCACCGAGGCUACUAUCCGUAGCUGGUCUGAGAGGAUGAUCAGUCACACUGAAACUGAAACACGGUCCAGACUCCUACGGGAGGCACCAAUGGGGAAUAUUGGACAAUGGGCGAAAGCCUGAUCCAACCAUGCCACGUGUGUGAACAACGUCUUCGGAUUGUAAAGCACUUUAAGUUGGGACGAAGGGCAGUAAACAAAUACCUUGCUGUUUUGACGUUACCGACAGAAUAAACACCGGCUAACUCUGUGCCAUCACCCGCGGUAAUACACAGGGUGCAAGCGUUAAUCGGAAUUACUGGGCGUAAAGCGCGCGUAGGUGGUUCGUUAAGUUGGAUGUGAAAUCCCCGGGCUCAACCUGGGAACUGCAUCCAAAACUGGCGAGCUAGAGUAGGGCAGAGGGUGGUGGAAUUUCCUGUGUAGCGGUGAAAUGCGUAGAUAUAGGAAGGAACACCAGUGGCGAAGGCGACCACCUGGGCUCAUACUGACACUGAGGUGCGAAAGCGUGGGGAGCAAACAGGAUUAGAUACCCUGGUAGUCCACGCCGUAAACGAUGUCAACUAGCCGUUGGAAUCCUUGAGAUUUUAGUGGCGCAGCUAACGCAUUAAGUUGACCGCCUGGGGAGUACGGCCGCAAGGUUAAAACUCAAAUGAAUUGACGGGGGCCCGCACAAGCGGUCGAGCAUGUGGUUUAAUUAGAAGCAACGAGAAGAACCUUACCAGGCCUUGACAUCCAAUGAACUUUCCAGAGAUGGAUUGGUCCCUUCGGGAACAUUGAGACAGGUGGUGCAUGGUUGUCGUCAGC
rnacentral:rRNA from 1 species